GUCACUGCAGACACUGAGUUCAGAUUUUAAAUUGUUUUAAAUUGUUAAUAUUUUUAUUAAUAGUUUUGGCUGACGAUGCCCAUUGGAAUUGUGGGUAACGCCUGAUACGUGCCAUGUAAAAAUGAAUGUAUGCGAAUUCUCAUGACUCAUCCAUAAAAUGGGAACUUUAAUCAGGUAUAUGGUCAUGGUGAGUUGGUUCUCUAAAGCUAAAUCACAUUUCCUAUAGCCAGGGCUGCCACUGUAGUACUUUCUCAGUUAUUUUGUCUGCUGAAAAUACGAGCCCAUUAGAUUGUGUUGUCGUUUUGUUAUUUUUUAAUGUGGCCUCUACUCGCUUCGAAUCGAACCCUCAUCUAAAGCGCCAUGAGGCCGGGUGAAAUAGGCUGCAUUACCAUGUUCGGCCACAACAAGGUGUCAAUGGGCAGGUGGCGCUCUUUCCCAAUGACUCACAGAUCUGAUACUACUGCUGGAACCUCAUCAUUUACAGUUUUUUACAUCUGUAUUUAUACAGUGCUUUUCUAGUUUUAACAAGUAGCCUACUAAAAGAACUUUUACAUAUUACAGGAACCAUUCGCACAUAGGUGUGUGUGUGUGUGUGUGUGUGUGUGUGUGUGUGUGUGUGUGUGUGUGUGUGUGUGUGUGUGUAGCCUACGUUCUUAUGGGGUGAGUGGGGGUGAAUAACCAGUGAUCAGUAAGUGUGGCCCUGAUCUAAACAUCUGAUCUUUUCUCUGCCCUUGUCCUCUUCUUCCUCCUCCUCCUCUUCCAACUCUUCCUCCAUGAACUUGUCCUGAGGUACAUCCCAUGUCCUUUAUUUGAUAGCUCCUCGACUCCUCUGUCCUCGGCUGAACCGGAAGUUGUUCCGUCCCUCCUCAGUGAAGGCCAUCUCAAAGCUCUUAUUUCUGUCCUGAGGGCCGAGGAGCGAGCUUCGAGGAGGGAACACCUCGGAGAUAUAGCCGAUAUCAGCCUUCCCUGAAGCUGUGCAGAUCUCUCCCGUGACUCCUCGGUGGGAGGGACUAAGACGCGAGGAAGGGAGGCAAGUGGAGGACUCCAGGAGGCAAUUUAAGCAACAUGAGAUGUAGCUCUGGUUGUCGUCCCCUAUCUCUCCCUCCUACUCCCCUUGCUCUCUGUCUAUUGUCGGCAUCCACCAUUCAAAGCAGGGACUAAGGAACAAACGGAGACGUUCAUACGUCUACGUGUAGGCAGCAAGCAGCUGUUUACCAGGGGGAGGGACAACGCUGUGAACGGAUAUCGUCAGAUAGGCUUAUUUUGGAGACGAUGGGGAUCGGAGCGAGGGUCUCCCACACACCCAGGCCAAGAAGAAGUGGGACAACCUAAAAACGAAGUGGGAGAUAUUUACUUUGGGGGUAUUAAUGUAUGGACAUAAUUGUUAUGGACAUCUUAAUGUAUCGUCUGUGUUGUUUAGCCUAAUUCUGACAACGACAGGUGCUGCGCUGCAGAGCAGACUGUUAGGUCCCGGUGUUGGAAUCUUCUACGGUGAAAUACAGUCACACUUUACACAGUUUAACGUUAGCUGUCAGCAUUUUAACCGUGUUAAAUCCAGCUGGUAACUAAAGAUAGGGUAACGUUGGGAGCAUUACCGUCUCCAGGCUGUUCAGAACUCUGCUGCAAGGCUUUUAACUCACAUUAACAAAAGAGCACACAUCACGCCUGUUUUAGCAGCACUUCACUGGUUACCAGUCCAGUAUAGAAUUCAAUUUAAAAUCCUCAUCCUUACUUUUAGAUCCCUGCACGGUCAAGUUCCUCCCUACAUCUCUGACUUGAUACAACUUCAUACUCCCACCCGUAGUCUGAGGUCAUUAGGUCAGAGGCUGUAGGUUCCCCGCACUCAGUUUAAAACUAGAGGGGACCGAUCAACAUAGAAUUGUGAGUAGAGUGUAUAAUCCAAUGACAUCACUCUCUCCCUGUGCGUGUGUGGAUGUCUGUUUCAUGUCAA